AUCCCUGUGGCUCAGUUGGUAGAGCAUGGUGUUUGCAACGCCAGCAUGGUGUGUGCAACGCCAGGGUUGUGGGUUUGAUUCCCACGGGGGGCC
rfam:Salmo salar isolate Sally breed double haploid chromosome ssa27, whole genome shotgun sequence.